UACGUAGGGGGCAAGCGUUGUCCGGAUUUAUUGGGCGUAAAGAGCGUGUAGGCGGCCAGGUAGGUCUGCUGUGAAAACUCGAGGCUUAACCUCGAGCUGUCGGCGGAAACCAUCUGGCUAGAGUCCGGAAGAGGAGAAUGGAAUUCCCGGUGUAGCGGUGAAAUGCGUAGAUAUCUGGAGGAAUACCGGUGGCGAAGGCGGCAUCCUGGACCGACAUUGACGCUGAUGAGCGAAAGCUAGGGGAGCAAACGGG
rnacentral:rRNA from 1 species